CCGGUGGUCUAGUUUGGUUAUGACAUCGGUCUCAUAGUAUAAACUGUGAUCUUGUGCUACAAACGCAAGAGUUAUCCGAGGGUCACGAGUUCGACUCUCGUCCGG
rnacentral:tRNA from 1 species